ensembl:snoRNA Snora2b small nucleolar RNA SNORA2/SNORA34 family
UUGGCCCUGAAUCAAGGCCAGCAGUGUGUUGAAGCUGUUGGUUUCAAGCAGGUGCCUAAAUAAAUGUCUUUCUAUGGUCUGUUGGCCAUUUUAGAAAUUGAAAAAUGUUAUGGUCAAUUCAUUAGAAAGAAACAUCU